UAAACGCUACAAAGAAUUUAUAAAAAUAAAAUUGUCGACUAUAUGUGACCUUUAGCGAAUAAUGGGUUAAAUUUUAAAAGAGAGGAACGUCGAGAGAAUUAUGAUGAUAAAUAGGAUUCUUCUACGAACGAACCUUACGCCUCGGCGCGUUGCACGACAAUGGUCGAACAAAGUGAGCAGGCAAGAAGGUCGGGCCCCGAAAAUCCCAAUCUACUCGGCGCCAGCUACAAGGAUCGCUCUAGCCGUGGAAGUAUAUUUCAUUCGUCGAGAGGAACCAAAGGAUCCGAUGGCCUGACGUUGGAGCCAUAAAAGAACGAAAUCCUCGUCUGGCAACUAACGCGCGACGGCGUCCGUAGGCCAUUCAGGCCCUUUGGGUCUUUUGGUCUUUCUCUCCAUUUCUUUGUCCCUCUCUCUUCUUUAUGCAUGAUGUACAUUUCAGUCCUGUACGUAGCACAGAAUACGCCCCUGAGACUUUUUGUAGAAACCUAAAAAUAAAUUUGUAUGUAUAUAAUAUAUUGAACACAUUUAUAAUUCUUGUAAAAUAUCAUUAAAAAUGUGUUCAUAAAUUUAUAUAUAUCUAUAUAAUCAAAAAUUUAAACUUUGUUAGAAAUAAAACGUUAACCCUGUUGUAUGUAUGUAAAUUGUCAGUUCAAAAUAAUAUUGCGUUGAUAAAAAAUUAAAUAAUAUGUAAUCUUUUCAUUGGCGUUACGUCAUACAGGAUGUUCAGCUGACUCACGUGAAUGAUUAUCCAAAUCCUCAAUGAUUUAAUCGAGGAGCUAAUAUAUUUCUUUUUGUUUUCAGGAGUAUAUUGUACUCUCCUUCUCAUAAGUGACGGCUUGUAACCAACGACCAACAGUCAAGAUUAGUCGGUGGAAGGUUACAUUGGAUAAUCGAUCGUAAUUGUGUCUACUUAGCGAGGGGUCCUCGAAGCUGUUCGAGUCUCGACUAGCGGGAUUUCGCAGAAGGUUCUCUUCUUCUUCUUCUCUUUCUCUCU